GGGGGCGAAGCGGAUAGAGUUGACGAGACUGGCGGUAAUCAAUGCUUCCUUACUGCUCUGCUGCGUUGCGGGCCUGCUUGAUUGAGGCCGGGCGUGGUGUGGUGCGGUUCGGGGGUAUGCUUUUGCCGUCGGUAUACGCUGAGAUGCUUGGUUGCCCCUUCCGCAGGGUGCGGAGUGGCCCACGUUCGCGUGGUAGCCUUUCGUGCCCGUAGGUUGAUGUGGCGGCUAAGUAGCUGUUAAGCCUUGCCUCUGCGCUUUGGCGUAUCUGGCGGCGGCCGGUCGUUCGGAUGGCUUGCCAUCUCGGGCGGUUGCGUUGUCGUCGGGUGUGUCGGAGCCUAAGGCUUGUUCUCGGUGUGAAAAGUUGACCACCUAUCCGACCCGUCUUGAAACACGGACCAAGAAGUCUAGCAUAUGCGCGAGUCAAUGGGUAUUAAACCUACUGGCGAAAUGAAAGUAAAGGGCACUCUGUGUCUGAUAUGUGAUCCGUUGGCUUCUGUCGGCGGCGCAACAUAGCCCCAUGCAUGCUGCUUGCAGCGGUGUGGAGGUAGAGCGUAUAUGCUGGGACCCGAAAGAUGGUGAACUAUGCCUGAGCAGGAUGAAGCCAGAGGAAACUCUGGUGGAAGUCCGAAGCGGUUCUGACGUGCAAAUCGAUCGUCUGACUUGGGUAUAGGGGCGAAAGACUAAUCGAACCAUCUAGUA
rnacentral:rRNA from 1 species